AUUUUAAAAUAUAUUUUGAGAUGGGGGGUCUUACUCUGUACUCCAGACCCAGCAACCCCUCCAGCCCCACCUGGCCUGGAAGACCCCACAAAGCCCUGUACUAGAUAGGCCUCAGAGGUAGAGCUGAGAUACAGGUAGGGAGAGAGAGCCACAGAGAGGGGCCCGACAAACUCACAGUGAGCAGUAGGCACUUGUUCUCCUUGAGGGCCCCAAUGCAGCCCACGAAGCCGAUGGCCAUGACGAAGGUCCCGGUGACGAUGAGCAGGUUGGCAGCCGACAAGGAUGGAAAUGAGGAUGAUAAGGUGGCAAAGUUUCCCUGUGUGGCAGCCAACCAGAUGCCAACACCCAGGACACCACAGCCACCCAGCUAGGACCACGGCAGUAUGGGAAGAGAGAGAGAGACACACACAGGGUGAGGUUGACUGGCAGGGCUCCUGACCCCUAGGGCAAGGCUCUACCCACAAGCUCAGGCCAAAAUUGUCAGCCUGAGGACCACCAGAGACAGCUUGAUUCCUGCAGCAGGGCACCACUCCUCAAGUCCCUUCCCUUUGCCCCCUUUGACAGUGGCCUGUGACAGAGUACAUCUCCCGUGCCUGAGCAGAAGGGUUCGAAUCUCCUUUGGCCCUCUGAUCCUGCACCUUCCUUCCCCACACCCUAUGUAGGCCAUGGCAAUUGAGUGGCCUACCCACUGGUAUGGCCCCCUUGCCCCUGGCUGUUAGUGUCCUGGGCUACCUGUAACCCUGAGCAGAGAAACCCUGGCUUGGCACACUACUGCUCAUAAUCAAAUUGCAGUAGCUCUGUGGUAUACCAACCAGAGGAUCUCACUGGAGCACCUGCUACCGCCAAGCUUCCCCAAACCUUCCCAAGCCUCCGUGAGUCUCAUCACUUUUUUUUCUUCAUCUUUGGUUUUUUUAAUUUUUUGUUUUGUUUUGUUUUUUUGAAACAGGGUUUCUCUUUGUAAUCCUGACUGUCUUGGAACUCGCUGUGUAGAUCAGGCUGGCCUUUAACUCAGAGUUCUAAUUGCUUCUGCCUCCUGAGUGCUGGGAUUAAAGGUGCAUGCCACUGCACCAGGCUCUCAUCACUCCUUUUUAUAAAAAUCAAGCCGGGCAGUGGUGGCUCACACCUUUAAUCCCAGCACUUGAGAGAAUUUCUGAGUUCAAGGCCAGCCUGGUCUACAGAGUGAGUUCCAGGACAGCCAGGACUACACAGUGAAACCCUGUCUCGAAAAACAAAAAAACAGGGGCUGGAGAGGUGACUCAGUGGUUAAGAGCACUGACUACUCUUCCAAAGGUCCUGAGUUCAAAUCCCAGCAGCCACAUGGUGGCUCACAACCAUCUGUAAUGAGGUCUGACGCCCUCUUCUGGUAUGUCUGAAGACAGCUAUAAUAAUAAACAAAAUUUUUUUAAAAAAUCAAAAUAAGAGGAAGCAGUGAAGGAAGGCAUGUGGUGGCUGACUUAGAGUGGAUUCAUCAUGGCAUGGUGACAGGGACAUCUAGUCUGUCCAGGGUACAGGGCUGCCAAUGGUAGGGGAAAACUAUGGCCCCAUCCUCAUAUGAGUCCUUGGGCUCUGUCAAAUGAGGAGGAAGGAAGAUAUAUUCAUUCCAGGAAGCUAGUGAUGGACCAACACCUAGGCUCUAGGAAAAAGCUUGACAGCCCAAUAGAGAGCUGGACAGGACAUGACACAGGAGCCCAUGAUGUAGGCUCUGACCUAAGGUUCUGAGUUCCAGGAGAGACAUUACUGUAGAGCCAUCAAGAAGCAAGGAAACCGGAAAUGCUGCCCAUUCAGGAAGCUCUGGAUCCUGGAGAAGGUUCAGGGAACCUGCCAGGACGGGGUGUGCACGUGCCCCAGCUGAUUUAUACUGAGAGAUCGACCCUCAGAGCCACAAGGUAGCUCUGAGGAGCCAAGCUACAGAGAUGCCUCCUUUACAGUGGGAGGGAGCCCUGCAGGGCUGCAGUGGCUGAGAGGUAGUGCUGUCUAUGGUGUUGACCAAGUAAGACAGUUGGAUAGGAUGGGUACCCCCAUUCAGCCUGAGGAGAGAAGCCCCCCCCCCCACUAUCUUCAUGUGCUAUUUCCAUGGUCUCCAGCCAUCCCAAGCAUGAGGUCUUCCAGGAUGCAGUAAGAUGACUCACAGGCUAUGGAAGGGCCUUCAUGGCCCUCACACUGCUAGACAGAAGUAAUACCCUGCUUGCUACCUUGGACUAGAUCAGAAGUACCAAGACUGAAGUGAGGACUCCCCACCCUCGCUCCACACUGCACCUGCUCUGAAGAGCUGGAACUCAAAAGCAGCAAGAAGCCUCAAAAGACACCAAGCCACAGGGCUGACCUCAGGCAUAACACUCUCCCAAGGGAGCCAUGACCCCCCAAAUGAGUCACAUCUACAGGGGUCAUAUCAAAGCUAAACACUCAUGCUUAUGUUAGCAGGUCCUAAAACAGGGGAGAGGGGAGAUGCUAAUACAGCAAUGAUAAAUGUUACUAAGACCCAAGCUGUCUGCACCACCCGCCUCUGCCUUCCAAGGACAGCAGACGGCUCAUGUCAGCAGGAAAAUGAGCUGUUGGAGCGCCCCUGGCCCCAUGGGACCCCGAAGGGCAUGGAGAGGACACUGCUAUGCAAAACAGCUGUCACCACUGGGGGUGGAGGGAGAUGCCCCAUUCCAGGAGGCCAGGAAGGUAUAAUCUCCAAGGCAGGACUGGCAGGAAGGUACACCACACCCAGAAGAGAACCAGUCUCCUCCACUGACACGGUGAGACAGCAUGAAAGACAUCCACUCGCUUGCCACGUAGCCUGUCACCCUCACUGUGACAAAGAUGAACACCAGCCCAGAUGCUCCCCUCUGCCAUCCGGGUGUCACAUGCAUUGUCACAAAUGAGCAGUACACUCAGAGCCACCACUAUCCUGUAGGGCCACCCCUCUCAGAAAUGCCACAAGCAUAGGUGCACUGAUGUGAACUGUGCAUGUGCUAAGCGUACUGUACCUGUAAUUUUGAAAAUGUUUCAGUGCAUGAAGCUUUUUAAGACAUUUUGGCAGGAAAAUUACAGCUUCAAAGCGCAAGACAAAAUGGGCCCAUUAGAUUCAGAAGAUGAGAAAGGCAGGACUCAGGGCUGAGCCCUGAUGGCCUCCUCAAUCAAAAGUGGGGAUGGGACUGAGACCCCACCCCCCACCCCAGAUCUACACUGGUCCCCCAGAACCCUGAGCACCAUCUCCUGAGACAGACCACCUUGCAUUCUUGCCUCACUCCUCUGCAGCUGUGUCCCCAGGCUAGACAGAAGCCCAGGUCGGAGGCAGAGCCCACUCCCCACAGCAGUCUUUAAAAAAGCUGGAGUCCUGAGCAAUAGAUAGUAGCUGGGGACAUCACUCAGGGGCAGCUUUGCCUGGGCUGUCAUCAUUGCAGCCUCAGUACUUGCUUAACGCUGUCCCAAAAGAAAAGGUACCACUGGGCACUGGGAUCUGCCCCCACAUUGGCAACAAGUUGCAGGGCACAUGCCUCAUUAGGCUCUGGGUGUCUGUUGUCUUUGAUGAGCUGAGAUGGUAUCAGAUGGACAGUGGUUCUAUUGUUAGUCUCUGGCACUUUCAGUCUGGUAGAUGAGGGGACUAGGAAAUGGCAGAGGGCUCUAUGUUCAGUUCCUUGGAAGAACCAGGACACUCAGGGACAGGGAGAUCCUGUAACAGCUUAUAUUUGUGAUAUGGGUAGCAGGGAGCUGCCCAAUGCAGGAAGCCAUGGUCUUGUUUGUUCUUUGGGAUGUUGGUGGCUCUGGCAAUGUCCUGUGUUGGGCGAAAACAAAUGAUAUUUUUUUUUAAGU
rnacentral:lncRNA from 1 species